UCAUCGCCUCUCGAAUCUCAUUCUUAGGCUACAAAGCAAAAGAGAGAGGAAACUAAUUGUCUUUCGCACCAAAAAGGGGGCGGAGAGACUGUGCUUGAGGAGCUCUAAUGGCGGACAAACCCCAGCCGGUGCGCGUUUUGUACUGUCCGGUCUGCAGUUUGCCGGCGGAGUAUUGCGAAUUCGGACCUGAUUUCGAAAAAUGCAAGCCCUGGUUGAUCCAAAAUGCUCCCGACCUCUAUCCCGAUCUUCUCAAAGAGGCCAAUGCGAAGGAAGCUGGUGAAGUUUCUAAUCAACUGCAAUCGACCAGUAUCUCAUCUGCUGCUGGUGAUGGAGCUACUUCUUCAGCGCCUAAGCAAGAGGAAGUGAAACGUCUUCCUGGCGGCAAGAUAAAGAAAAAAGAGAGACAAGAAGUUAUUAUUGAGAAGGUUACUCGCAAUAAGAGAAAGUGCAUCACAACUGUAAAAGGGUUAGACCUUUUUGGAGUUAAACUAAGUGAUGCUUCAAAGAAACUUGGAAAGAAGUUUGCUACUGGGGCCUCUGUGGUUAAGGGGCCAACUGAGAAAGAGCAAAUUGAUGUUCAAGGGGACAUAUCUUAUGACAUUGUGGAUUUCAUCACCGAGACUUGGCGUGAUGUCCCAGAAACUGCAAUUUUCUUCAUCGAAGAUGGGAAGAAGGUUCCUGCUGCUUGACAAUGAAAUCAUGGCAAACAAAUAAUAUGUGGGCUUCUGUGCAUCCCUUUCCCUUCUUGUGCGAGUCCUUUUAAGAUUCCACAAGAACAUACGGGAAUUUGUCAAAGCAUUGUUUUCAGGAACAUCAAAACUUUACAGCAUGUAUGAUGAUAUUUUGAUUUGUGGGUAAAGGGGAGUGUUCCAAUAGAAAUUCAACGAAACAAAUUAUGGUUGAACUUGAAGUUAGAAACUGAUUCGCCAAUUGUGGCAAUAUUGUGUGCAUAAGAA